CUAUCAUAAACAUCCUAGUCCCAGAUCUGCGAGGGCAGGAAGUGCGCGAGGACAGGAAUUCCACUCUUUCAAAUUACAUUACGGCUCUUUGCAAUGAUGGCUCUUCAGUUUACCACGCGCACACCGCGCCUAUGAGCCUAUGUCAAAUAAAAGACACGAACCAGGGAAGACGAGAAGACCACAGACUUUCUCUGGAACAAUAAAAGAAGACUAAACAACUCCCGAAAUCAUAAGGUAAAGCUAAACAGGACAAAGGGGCUCUCUUUUGUGGUUUCUGCUUCAUUUUGACCAACUUAAAAACCACCACCAUAUUUGAGUGGAUUUGGAGUUUUUGUAUAAAUGAACAGUAAAUAGGCUUCCUUUCUCUAAAUUACAUUUUUUUUAACUAAAAGAAAAGACAAACUCGAGGCCUGUCCAACUAAGUUAACCAAAUGUCAUUUUCCACACUGCUGUCCUGUCAGAAAUAAACAGACUAACCGUUAAUAAAUAUUAUCAUAGCCUACAUUUUUGGUUAAAAAGUAUUUUUUUAACCAUUUUAUCGAUCUGCAAAUUGAUAACUAGAUCGAUCUCCUUUUGUGUUAUUUGAUAGCUGUAUUAAUUAACAGAUUGAAUGAUGUAAUGUUUUAACUAAGCCAAACACUUGCAAAGCAGAGGCAUAAUAGCGGUGUGGAGAUUAUCGGGAAAUGCUCUCCGUCUUAAACAUGUGAAAAAGACAUUGAAACAAGAAAUAACAUCGCGCUGUAACGCUUGAAACUGUGAGUCUG
rnacentral:lncRNA from 15 species